AUACGGAGGAUGCGAGCGUUAUCCGGAUUUAUUGGGUUUAAAGGGAGCGUAGGUGGGAUAUUAAGUCAGCUGUGAAAGUUUGGGGCUCAACCUUAAAAUUGCAGUUGAUACUGGUUUCCUUGAGUACGGUACAGGUGGGCGGAAUUCGUGGUGUAGCGGUGAAAUGCUUAGAUAUCACGAAGAACUCCGAUCGCGAAGGCAGCUCACCGGGCCGGAACUGACACUGAUGCUCGAAAGUGCGGGUAUCAAACAGGAGUAGAUACCCUGGUAGUCCGCACAGUAAACGAUGAAUACUUGUUUCCGGCGAUAUAAUGUCGGAGGCAAAGCGAAAGCGAUAAGUAUUCCACCUGGGGAGUACGCCGGCAACGGUGAAACUCAAAUGAAUUGACGGGG
rnacentral:rRNA from 1 species